GACGAACGCUGGCGGCGUGCUUAACACAUGCAAGUCGAACGGAAAGGCCCUGCUUUUGUGGGGUGCUCGAGUGGCGAACGGGUGAGUAACACGUGAGUAACCUGCCCUUGACUUUGGGAUAACUUCAGGAAACUGGGGCUAAUACCGGAUAGGAGCUCCUGCUGCAUGGUGGGGGUUGGAAAGUUUCGGCGGUUGGGGAUGGACUCGCGGCUUAUCAGCUUGUUGGUGGGGUAGUGGCUUACCAAGGCUUUGACGGGUAGCCGGCCUGAGAGGGUGACCGGCCACAUUGGGACUGAGAUACGGCACAGACUACUACGGGAGGCAGCAGUGGGGAAUAGUGCACAAUGGGCGGAAGCCUGAUGCAGCAAAGCCGCGUGCGGGAUGACGGCCUUCGGGUUGUAAACCGCUUUCGCCUGUGACGAAGCGUGAGUGACGGUAAUGGGUAAAGAAGCACCGGCUAACUACGUG
rnacentral:rRNA from 1 species